rnacentral:rRNA from 1 species
UACGGGGGGAGCAAGCGUUGUUCGGAUUUACUGGGCGUAAAGGGCGCGUAGGCGGCCACCGCAAGUCGACUGUGAAAUCUCCGGGCUUAACCCGGAAAGGUCAGCCGAUACUGCGGGGCUAGAGUGCAGAAGGGGCAACUGGAAUUCUCGGUGUAGCGGUGAAAUGCGUAGAUAUCGAGAGGAACACCUGCGGCGAAGGCGGGUUGCUGGGCUGACACUGACGCUGAUGCGCGAAAGCUAGGGGGGCGAACGGG